rfam:Mustela putorius furo unplaced genomic scaffold scaffold00035, whole genome shotgun sequence.
CAGUUUUCUGAUUGUCUGUAGGUCAGCUAUUAGAAACGAAAGAUCAGCUCAGUCUUUCAGACCUGAUCAACUUAAACUGGGAGCUACUGAUUUCAGCUACUUCAGCCUAACUACGAAACAAUGAAUUAUACAAACUAUAUCUUAGCUUUUCAGCUUUGCGUGAUU